rnacentral:rRNA from 1 species
CCUACGGGAGGCAGCAGUGAGGAAUAUUGGUCAAUGGGCGAGAGCCUGAACCAGCCAAGUCGCGUGAGGGAGUACUGCCCUAUGGGUUGUAAACCUCUUUUGUCGGGGAACAAAAGCCGGACGUGUCCGGCUGUGAGAGUACCCGAAGAAAAAGCAUCCGCUAACUCCGUGCCAGAAGCCGCGGUAAUACGUAGGAUGCGAGCGUUAUCCUGAUUUAUUGGGUUUAAAGGGUGCGCAGGAGGAUUUUUUAGUCAGCGGUGAAAUCGUGGGGCUCAACCCCAUCCAGACGUUGAAACUGGGGAUCUAGAGUGUGCGAGAGGUAGGCGGAAUGCGUGGUGUAGCGGUGAAAUGCAUAGAUAUCACGCAGAACCCCGAUUGCGAAGGCAGCAUACCGGUGCACAACUGACGCUCAGGCACGAAAGCGUGGGUAUCGAACAGGAUUAGAUACCCUGGUAGUC